rnacentral:tRNA from 1 species
GUCCAGGGGCGGGAAUCGAACCCACACCCUUCUGCUUACCGGGCAGGUGCCUUGUCCACUCGUCUACCCUGGA